GACGAACGCUGGCGGCGUGCUUAACACAUGCAAGUCGAACGGAAAGGCCUCGCCUUUCUGGGGUGCUCGAGUGGCGAACGGGUGAGUAACACGUGGGUGAUCUGCCUUUCACUCUGGGAUAAGCUUAGGAAACUGGGGCUAAUACCGGAUAUGAGCUGCCGCUGGAUGGGGGGGUGGGGAGAUUUUGCGGUGCAGGAUGGGCUCGCGCCUUAUCAGCUUGUUGGUGGGGUAGUGGCUUACAACGGCGUCGACGGGUAGCCGGCCUGUGAGGGUGACCGGCAACAUGGGGACUGGAAUAGGGCCAGGCUCCCUAGGGGAGGAAGAGGGGGGAAUAAUGCAAAAAGGGGCGGAGGCUGAAGGCAGGACGGCGGCGUGCGGAAUACCGGCCUUCGGUUGGUAAACCGUUUCGGCCGGGGACGAGGUGUUUGUGACGGUAACUGUAAAAGAAGCACCGGCUAACUACGUG
rnacentral:rRNA from 1 species